GUGUCAGCAGCCGCGGUAAGACGAACUGUGCGAACGUUAUUCGGAAUCACUGGGCUUAAAGCGCGCGCAGGCGGGCCGGCACGUCCGAGGCUGAAAGCCCCCGGCUCAACCGGGGAACGGGCCCGGAUACGACCGGCCUGGAGGGGGGUAGGGGGAGCCGGAACUUCCGGUGGAGCGGUGAAAUGCGUUGAGAUCGGAAGGAACGCCCGUGGCGAAAGCGGGCUCCUGGGCCCCACCUGACGCUGAGGCGCGAAAGCCAGGGGAGCGAACGGGAUUAGAUACCCCUGUAGUCC
rnacentral:rRNA from 1 species